rnacentral:snRNA from 1 species
GUACUUGCUUCAGCAGCACACACAUAGUACUAAAACUGGAAUGAUACACAAGACAUUUGCAUGGACCCUGAACAAGAAUGACAAACAAACUCCUGAAGCAUUCCAUACAGUA